rnacentral:rRNA from 1 species
UACGUAGGGUGCAAGCGUUACUCGGAAUUACUGGGCGUAAAGCGUGCGCAGGCGGUUGUGCAAGACAGGUGUGAAAUCCCCGGGCUCAACCUGGGAACUGCAUUUGUGACUGCACAGCUAGAGUACGGGAGAGGGGGAUGGAAUUCCGCGUGUAGCAGUGAAAUGCGUAGAUAUGCGGAGGAACACCGAUGGCGAAGGCAAUCCCCUGGACCUGUACUGACGCUGAUGCACGAAAGCGUGGGGAGCAAACAGG